rnacentral:rRNA from 1 species
UACGGAGGGUGCAAGCGUUGUUCGGAAUUACUGGGCUUAAAGCGCGUGUAGGCGGGAUCGCAGGUGUCUUGUGAAAUCCCCGAGCUCAACUCGGGAACUGCUUGGCAAACCGCGAUUCUUGAGGCAGGUAGAGGUGACCGGAACGACGGGUGGAGCGGUGAAAUGCGUAGAUAUCCGUUGGAACGCCGGUGGCGAAAGCGGGUCACUGGGCCUGCCCUGACGCUGAGACGCGAAAGCGUGGGUAGCAAACAGG